rnacentral:rRNA from 1 species
UGGGGAAUUUUGGACAAUGGGCGAAAGCCUGAUCCAGCAAUGCCGCGUGUGUGAAGAAGGCCUUCGGGUUGUAAAGCACUUUUGUCCGGAAAGAAAUCCUUGGCUCUAAUACAGUCGGGGGAUGACGGUACCGGAAGAAUAAGCACCGGCUAACUACGUGCCAGCAGCCGCGGUAAUACGUAGGGUGCAAGCGUUAAUCGGAAUUACUGGGCGUAAAGCGUGCGCAGGCGGUUUGCUAAGACCGAUGUGAAAUCCCCGGGCUCAGCCUGGGAACUGCAUUGGUGACUGGCAGGCUAGAGUAUGGCAGAGGGGGGUAGAAUUCCACGUGUAGCAGUGAAAUGCGUAGAGAUGUGGAGGAAUACCGAUGGCGAAGGCAGCCCCCUGGGCCAAUACUGACGCUCAUGCACGAAAGCGUGGGGAGCAAACAGGAUUAGAUACCCUGGUAGUCCACGCCCUAAACGAUGUCAACUAGUUGUUGGGGAUUCAUUUCCUUAGUAACGUAGCUAACGCGUGAAGUUGACCG